AUUGAACGCUGGCGGCAGGCCUAACACAUGCAAGUCGAGCGAGUGGCGGACGGGUGAGUAAUGUAUGGGGAUCUGCCUGAUAGAGGGGGAUAACUACUGGAAACGGUGGCUAAUACCGCAUACUCUCGGAUGUGCCCAUAUGGGAUUAGCUAGUAGGUGGGGUAAAGGCUCACCUAGGCGACGAUACCUAGCUGGUCUGAGAGGAUGACCAGCAACACUGGAACUGAGACACGGACCAGACUCCUACGGGAGGCAGCAGUGGGGAAUAUUGCACAAUGGGCGCAAGCCUGAUGCAGCCAUGCCGCGUGUAUGAAGAAGGCCUUAGGGUUGUAAAGUACUUUCAGCGGGGAGGCGUUACCCGCAGAAGAAGCACCGGCUAACUCCGUGCCAGCAGCCGCGGUAAUUC
rnacentral:rRNA from 1 species